rnacentral:rRNA from 1 species
CCUACGGGAGGCAGCAGUAGGGAAUCUUCCGCAAUGGACGAAAGUCUGACGGAGCAACGCCGCGUGAACGAUGAAGGCCUUCGGGUCGUAAAGUUCUGUUGUUAGGGAAGAACAAGUGCUAGUUGAAUAAGCUGGCACCUUGACGGUACCUAACCAGAAAGCCACGGCUAACUACGUGCCAGCAGCCGCGGUAAUACGUAGGUGGCAAGCGUUGUCCGGAAUUAUUGGGCGUAAAGCGCGCGCAGGCGGUUUCUUAAGUCUGAUGUGAAAGCCCCCGGCUCAACCGGGGAGGGUCAUUGGAAACUGGGAAACUUGAGUGCAGAAGAGGAAAGUGGAAUUCCAAGUGUAGCGGUGAAAUGCGUAGAGAUUUGGAGGAACACCAGUGGCGAAAGGCGACUUUCUGGUCUGUAACUGACGCUGAGGCGCGAAAGCGUGGGGAGCAAACAGGAUUAGAUACCCUGGUAGUCCACGCUGUAAACGAUGAGUGCUAAGUGUUAGAGGGUUUCCGCCCUUUAGUGCUGAAGUUAACGCAUUAAGCACUCCGCCUGGGGAGUACGGUCGCAAAGACUGAAACUCAAAGGAAAUUGACGG